AUCUCCUGCUGUUUUAAUAAAAGGACAGAGGACGAGAGGAACCUAUUUUUCACCAACUGCUCCAUUUAUUACAAGAGAAGAUAAGAAAAGAGCUACAGAGUGCCUCGUUAUAAACAGAAACGUAACAUUUCGUAUCAAAUAUCUGUAAAUAAAUGAAGUAAAGAGCUAGCUAAAUACAUAAAACACGUCUAAUAAUAAUCAGUGUGAAUUAAAUCUGUAGAUUUGAGUUCAAUGUCGGUUUAGUAUUUAAUCAGGCUUAAAGCUUCUCCGUGUAGAAACACAUUGUUAUGUGUUUAUAUACAGUAGCACGCACUGGGGGAACCAUUCAAGGUGUUGGAGGGUUCCAGAAAGAACCUUUUUCAGAACAGGGUACUCUUUCACAACAAUCAUUCCACUUAGAACCUCGUCGAUGCAGCAGAGGUUUUGCUGGGAAUUUUAAAUCAACAAGGCAACUGGACGACAACAUACACGGUUAGAGAAAAGGGUUCUUUAAAUAAUUAAGGGUUUAAGCUUCGUUAUACGGGUCCCACUUGGGUUCUCUGAUAGGAAACCUUGUUUUCAUAGAACCUUCGAAGGUUCCUCCAAAGGAGGCAAGAUGGGACGUGCUAGAUGGGACCUUCCUGUCUAAGAGCAUUAUUUAAAGAAAGAUGCCAAGAUUUGAGUUAAAUCUUUAAAAAUGUGUCCAUUUUGGACCUCAUGGAUGCAGCAAAGGUUCUACUUGGAACUUUAGGUGACUGUCACUGAACAACUAUGUACUGUUCACUCUUGAAAAUAAAAGAGUUCUUGAAGAGUUCUAAAGAGGCUCUAUUCAGAAGGUUGUAGGGUUCUUUAUAGAACCUUUAAGGGUUCCUCCAGUGGGGCAAACUGAGAAACACUUAAGAGUGCUAUUACUUCAGCCCCUGUGUGGUAUCUUUUUAUGGGGGAUAUAAGAGUUUUCAGAGUGAAAAAAAAAUUCCCCAAAUCUACCUUUAUUUUCCUCUGUGCAUUAAACAGAGCCACGAGGCUCCGGUGCGUACGGAUGAUAUUUUAUUAAGCUGCCAUUUUCUCUGAGUUGUUUUGUCUCUCUCAAGGUAACAUUGUGACUCAUUACUGAACUAUAACAAGGUCCCUGUGUGCGCUUGGGUACUGAUGUAACAAGCGGCAGCCAGACGCAGUAAUAUCUUACAGAACAGCGCCUUGGAUAGAAAAUAUACAAGAAUCACGGCCCGGAUCCACGUCUAGAGUGAAAACACAGCCAGAGAGAACCAACUGUGUUCUUUAUUAAAGCAGACAGACAGAGGGCAGGACCAAAGACAGCUUUGACAGUCAUGCCUGAGAAUCAUUGAGGACUAAAGACAAGCAAAAGGACAUAAACAGGCAUCAGAUGAAAAUCGGGACGCUUACAGGAAGUAAAUGAAGGUAGAUGGUGUAGGGCUCAGCCAGGUCAGGUGAGAUAGGGCAGGUGAGGCAAGGUAGGGAAGUGUGGCAGGGUUAAUAGGGUUGGCAAGAAAUGUAAGAUCGGGCAGGGAGAGGCAAGGUGGGGCAAGGGAGGAUAAGGAAAGGCAGGGUGAGGGGUGGGAUUAUAGGGCAAGGGAGAGAAAGAUGUGCAGUGUGAGGGAAGAAAAGGCUGGGUGAGGUAGGGUAAAACGGGGCAAUGCAGGGUGAGGUAGGGGAAGGCAUGUCAAGGUAGCGCAAGAUGGGGCAGGGUGAGGUAGGGAAAGUGGGGUGAGAUAGGGCAAGAUGGGGCAGGGCGAGGUAGUCAAAGGCAGGGUGAGAUAGAGUAAGAUGGGGCAGAGUGUCAUGAGGUAGGGAAAAGUGGGGUGAGAUAGGGCAAGAUGGGGCAGGGUGGGGAAUGGCAGGCAAAGGCGGGACGAGAAAGGGGCAAUAUGGGCAGCACGGAGAAUGGCAGAGAAAGGUGGGAUGAGAGGGAAAGAUGGGGCAAGGUCGGGGUGAGGUACGCAAUGGUGAGGGGAGAUAGAUCAAGAUAGGGCAGGAUGAGGCAAGGUGGUAUGAGAUAGGGCAAGUUGGGGUGAGGGUGGGGCAGAGUGGGGCAAGGUUAGGUUCAUAUUAAUGAAUGAAAUUGUGAAAGUCCUAAAUUGUCAAAAUAACGUUGUUGAUUAAUAUUGUAUACUUAUAUAUGAUGUCUAUAUUGGUUUAUUACUCUUGGUUUCAGGCGAAUUUUAAACUAAACUUUCUGUUCCUAGUCAUCACCUCCAUCAGGAUGGAUUUCUGUGGCACUUUUUACUCGAGGAUGCUUUUUCCUGACAUGGUGUGAACAGAUAUUUUAUGUAGGACUUUGCUCUCGCUGUUGUCCUGCUCGCUUUGUCUCUGAGGACCCUCGGCCUGAUUUCUUAUAUGAAAGUGUUAUAUUAAGCCCCGUGGCAUGAUAAAGCUAAUAUUAGUCCACUCUUCAUGUAGCAUAUGUAUGAAUAUUUCAAAUCUAACCUAGAGGCGGAGUGAGGAAAUGAUCUGGAUCUCAGACCUGUCACGUAGACAUGGCUUUCUCUCAGUUUUCAUACUACUCACAACGUUUUCAAAGAUGAUGACAUUAAAUACAGUAUAACACCGCAAAAAGUCAUUGCUAUAAAUUAUUCAGCAGCUACAGUGAACUUAGUCCUGUCUCUUUUGGGCGUGGCCUGUUUUUUUUUUUUUGGUUCCAAUGUGAAAUGCUGGUAGCUAGGAAUAGCUUAUAAAGCGAACUGGAGAUGUACACGGUAGUGUGAUAUACUUGUUACGUUCUCGGCUUCGUACUAGCAUCGUUCUGAGAUUAGAUUAGCAAAACGAGCUAACUGUACAAGCUAGGUACCCUGCGGAACCACCGAUCUUUGCUACGUCCUUUCAGCUUUAUUUUUCUUCGUAACGACUCUAUACACAUUUAACGAGAGGGUGUAUAUGACAGAGUAACAAGAAAAACAGUUUUUUUUCUGAAGAAAUGUUGGACUACACGCGUCUUAGGAUCGAUCCCAGGCAUCUUUGGAGAAGUAUUAAAUUUGUUGGUUUACAGUGUCAUACCUAAUUUGCAUAGAAUUGAGAAAAUCUUGAAAACUUAUCCUGGAAGAGACCCCUCCCAUCAGGAUAGAAAUACUACAUUAUGAGAUGAUGUUAAGUCAGAAGAACUGUAUAAGAACCAUGCAAGCGAAAAUAAAUGCCCCCCCCCCCCCCCAACCCCCACAGCAUAACAGAGUGCGUGAGCGUGUUUUAUCUGUGUAAAGUGAAACUUCUAUAGUGUUUGGUUCGGCUCGGGCUAGAUUACUCCCUGAUGGGCGAUCAUUCUCUCUCUCGCUCAUCGUGACAUGUGUAUCAGCCGUGUAUCUCCCACUGACCGGCUGAAUCGAUGCGGUUUCAAUUAAAGAGACCUGCUGUUCCCUCCACAUGAACCUGCUGGACUCACACAGAGAGCAGCGCUGAUCCGACUGAAC
ensembl:lncRNA